CCCUUAUGCCCAGGGCUACACACGUACUACAAAUGGUCGGUACAAAGGGGCUGGCGAUGCCGACGAGGCGGAGCGAAUCCCAUAAAACCGGUCCCAGUUCGGAUCGGAGGCUGCAACCCGCCUCCGUGAAGUCGGAGUUGCUAGUAAUCGCGGAUCAGCAUGCCGCGGUGAAUACCGGUUCCCGGGCCUU
rnacentral:rRNA from 1 species